UGAAGCUCAAACCUAGGUGCACUGUGAAGUCGCUUGAUGAUAACAACCGGGCUGGAACUUUUGUUGUACUAGCGAAGAUAGCUGAAAUAGUUGAGGAUGGUCCUUGGUGGUACUCUGCUUGUGUGUGUGGCAGAGGUGUUCAGGCAGAAUCUGGGAUUUACUUUUGUCAAUUUUGCAACAUCCAUGUUACAAAUGUGACUCCUAGGUUUAGAGUGAAGGUGUUGGUUGAGGAUUCCACUGGUGUUUGUAUUUUUGUCCUCUUUGAUCAUGAGGCAAGUUACCU